GUCGAGCGGACGGAUGGGAGCUUGCUCCCUGAAGUCAGCGGCGGACGGGUGAGUAACACGUGGGCAACCUGCCUGUAAGACUGGGAUAACUCCGGGAAACCGGGGCUAAUACCGGAUAACUCUUUUCCUCACAUGAGGAAAAGCUGAAAGAUGGUUUCGGCUAUCACUUACAGAUGGGCCCGCGGCGCAUUAGCUAGUUGGUGAGGUAACGGCUCACCAAGGCCACGAUGCGUAGCCGACCUGAGAGGGUGAUCGGCCACACUGGGACUGAGACACGGCCCAGACUCCUACGGGAGGCAGCAGUAGGGAAUCUUCCGCAAUGGACGAAAGUCUGACGGAGCAACGCCGCGUGAGUGAUGAAGGUUUUCGGAUCGUAAAACUCUGUUGUCAGGGAAGAACAAGUACCGGAGUAACUGCCGGUACCUUGACGGUACCUGACCAGAAAGCCACGGCUAACUACGUGCCAGCAGCCGCGGUAAUACGUAGGUGGCAAGCGUUGUCCGGAAUUAUUGGGCGUAAAGCGCGCGCAGGCGGUUCCUUAAGUCUGAUGUGAAAGCCCCCGGCUCAACCGGGGAGGGUCAUUGGAAACUGGGGAACUUGAGUGCAGAAGAGAAGAGUGGAAUUCCACGUGUAGCGGUGAAAUGCGUAGAGAUGUGGAGGAACACCAGUGGCGAAGCGACUCUUUGGUCUGUAACUGACGCUGAGGCGCGAAAGCGUGGGGAGCAAACAGGAUUAGAUACC
rnacentral:rRNA from 2 species